rnacentral:miRNA from 1 species
UUCCUUCUGGUCAAUGAGGUUGUUAUACCUCAUUGAACGGAAGGAAUUUAUUCUGGGCAAUGAGGUUUUUGCUUCUUGUCAACCAGAAGUAAUUCCUUCCAGUUGAUGAGGUUUUUAUACCUCAUUGACCGGAAGGAU